GUCACACUCAACUUACAGCAAUUUAUCUGAAUUACCAUUCAGGUGAUCCAUCCACUUUUUAGUUCCGUGGUUCCUGCUCCAGAAGACAAGGACAAACUGAUACAUCAUCAAAAGAAUUUAUUUAGCCAGAGUGAAUACAUUCUUCUUUAUCCUCAUUGUCUUUAUGGAAACCUCCAAAUGAGCAGCAGUGCACAUCUAUAAAGGAUACAUGGAUGAUUCAGAGAAAAAAAAGUGACCAUGAUUUGGAGAAAAUAAGGAUUUUUUCCUUUUUGCCAUGUCAGAAGAUUGAUUUCCACAUAAGUUUUAGGACUUCCCUUGAGUGAAGAGGCUAUUAACUCUAAAAUAGUAUCGAAAGAAGAUUCCUGGAAGCAGAAAGGUGAUUUAAU
rnacentral:lncRNA from 1 species